rnacentral:lncRNA from 1 species
CCCAGAUAUGUUCUUCUCUAAGCUCGAAACUCUAUCUUAAAACUCUACUAAAAUUUUUGCUCGAGUACUCCAUUUCUGUUGAAGCAGAGUACUGACUUGAGCAUCGGAGAAUCUUGCCAGAGCACCCCCAACUCUGAUUUAGACUUCCCUUACAGGUCCCGAUGGCGGCCACGGUCAUCUCAGCUCCAGCUUCUCCAGCUUCGAUGGAAUUCUGCACCAACAGAAUUGGUGC